GCAGUCGAGCGGACAGAUGGGAGCUUGCUCCCUGAUGUUAGCGGCGGACGGGUGAGUAACACGUGGGUAACCUGCCUGUAAGACUGGGAUAACUCCGGGAAACCGGGGCUAAUACCGGAUGCUUGAUUGAACCGCAUGGUUCAAUUAUAAAAGGUGGCUUUUACCUUCCACUUACAGAUGGACCCGCGGGGCAUUAGCUAGUGGGGGAGGCAACGGUUCCCCAAGGCCACAAUGGGUAUCCGACCUGGAAGGGGGAUCGGCCACCUGGGAACUGAAACACGGCCCAAACUCCUACGGGAGGCAGCAAUAGGGAAUCUUCCGCAAUGGACUAAAGCCUGACGGACCAACGCCGGGUGAGGGAUGAAGGUUUUCGGAUCGUAAAACUCGGUUGUUAGGGAAAAACAAGUACCGUUCGAAUGGGGUGGCACCUUGACGGUACCUAACCAGAAAGCCCCGGUUACCUACGGGCCAGCAGCCGCGGAAGUAGGAAGGGGGAAACCGUUGUCCGGAAUUAUUGGGCGUAAAGCGCGCGCAGGCGGUUUCUUAGGUCUGAUGUGAAAGCCCCCGGUUCAACCGGGGAGGGUCAUGGGAAACUGGGGAACUUGAGUGCAUAAAAGGAGAGUGGAUUUCCACGUGUAGCGCUGAAAUGCGUAGAGAUGUGUAGGAACACCAGGGGCGAAGGCGACUCUCUGGUCUGUAUCUGACGCUGAGGCGCGAAAGCGUGGGGAGCGAACAGGAUUAGAUACCCUGCUAGUCCACGCCGUAAACGAUGAGUGCUAGG
rnacentral:rRNA from 1 species